UUCUCUGGUUCUUUAACAAGAUGUCAAGAACCUGCAAACACCCAGUGCAGACAGAGACAAUGGGUAGCAGGGUUUCAAUCAAAUAGUAAGGUUUUGUGUAAAUAAACCAUAGCUACUGUUAAAAUCCUGUCUUCACCCUUGAGAAUGGACUAGAAUAGAAACCAUUAGCAAGCAGGGUGUGGACUGAAUCAUGGUACAUUGGGUUCUCUUCCCUUCCUUCCUUCCUUUGUCCUUCCUUUUUUUCCUCUCUUCCUUUUUCCUUCUCAUUCUAAUGCCCCCAGUGUGAACACACAUUUAAUAGGCAUCCUAAUUAAACCCAAUCUGGGUAGAUUUCAUGGCAACAAUUCCAACUGUAAACUGACUUCAUUGUAAAACCUUCCCCGCUUCUCUACACAAGGCAAUAUUCUGAGCCUGACUUAGGUGACAUCCUGAAAGAGGUUGAGGUGCCUGUGACAGGCCAAAGCAUGCCUGACAGUGUCAUGUACUUUAAGAAUGUGGGCACUGCCGGCGUAGCCUCAAUCCUAGCUGCACCUUAACUAUGAGUAAGGGAGCCUCAGAAAGGCCCUAAAGUGCAGGCUCUCCCCACAACCAUUACAUCAGAGCUCUGGGGGCAGCACUGAAGCAAGCAUAAUUUUUAGCGCUCCCCCAGUGACUUUAAAGUGCAGUAGUUAUGAAGAAUCACCGAUUUAAGGAGUGUGUUAGUCAAUGGUGUGGAAAGCCGCUGAGUUCCCAAGGCUUCGUGUCUCUCCCUGGAUUUGACAGCCCUUGAUUAUACUUUAGGCCCUGCAGAACCUUUCUAGGAACUUUGAAGAAAGGGAAGCUAGGCUGUAGAAGGAAGACCACAAAAUGCCUACAGCAAGGAUAUCCUGGUCUUUCAACCACAACAACAACAAAAUGAGGGACAUGAGGGAAUGGCCCUAUAGGAAUUAACAAAAAUAGCAUAAUUCACUUUCAGAAUACAAUUGAUUUUUUUAGAAUAGGCAAGGCCUAAGCAUUUUUGAACCAGGAUAAGUCAAACCAAAUCACAUUAUGUUUACUAGUUAAACUUUUUUAAAUAGGGAGCUGCUGUUUGACUUUACCCAAUAGAUUUAUCAGAGGGUCGUGACCAAGUGGCUUCCAUCCACUGCAUCUCAUUGUAUAUUUCUUUUUAAUUGCUGCUUGUGAAACUGGUUAAAUGUGUUACUUCAUCACCUCUCCUUAUCUUCACAAUUAUUCCGAGAAGUGAUUCCCUUCCAUUUUACACAUAAGGAACAAACUUGAGAUGAGUUGACAGGACCCACGGAGCACAAGAGCUUGCCUAAAGUCAGUAAGAAGCCAAACUAAGACUCAAGCCUGGGUCAUUAUGAACCUCUAAAGCCACUGUCUUUGACCCUGAUCGUCUGGAUGUAAAACACAGCUUCAAUUCCUGCAAAACUGGGUGUUCAUUUUAUAACCUGGAAAAAAAUUGAUAACUGUGCCCCAAAGGCUAUGCCAAACACCAGAGUCUCAGAUCCCCAAGGUUAUAGCCAUCUUUUCAGAUCCAAAUCAUUUCAAAGAAAAGUGGAAGGGUGUGAGGCCUUUGCUAUCAAUGCCACAGAUGCCCAGGGUGUUGGUAGAGAAGCAGCCAGAAUAGAAAUUGCCCAUAACUGCCACUAAUCAGGAAAUGUCGCUCCCUCAGCUCUGGACAGUCAGGGUUCGAUAGAAAUGAUUGCUCCAAACACCAUUCAUCUCUACCAUCUGCUCCUUCCUCCUCCCUGGACAAGUACUCCUUGCUGACUUCUGUCUGCCAAAGUAUCAUGUGUGCCAGCUCAUUUGGCCAUCUCCUCUUGAGGAAACCCAGUCUCCACAGCCUUUGAUUGCUCUGAAAACUGAUUACCGUCCAUUUGCAAGCCACAGUCUCCUGCUAAUGCCUCCAGGUGUCUGUGAUCCACAGAGCUUUGAUUUCUGGUCUAUUAACUUAGAAGGGAAUUAAACCUAAUAAAAAUAUAGCAUUUGCUCCAAAUAGCCACAUAAUGCAGGGCAGUGAGAUGCUCUCCUUUGGUCUGUAAAAUACCGAGAUUUGUGUGAGUUCUCCGCAAUGAGGAGAAUAAGCAAAAUGUCACUUCUCCCUCAUGAGAAAGGCUGAUGCAAUAUCCCCUUGAAGGAGUAAAUGGCACUUUAUAUCGUCUUAAAACAUACACACACAAUUUAAUGCUACAUUUAAAGGGGGAAACUGGGUUGCAACUUCAUUCCAGAACAAAUUUAGGUUCCUCGAGUAUAAAUCUCUUAAUAAGACUAUAAGUUGGCUUGUUCAGUUUGGAUAGAAAAAAAAGUCACAAUGUCCAAUAAAGCACUUAUUUCCUUUCCAGCUCACAUUGUCUUUUCUUUUAUUUUUUUCAAAAAUUAUUCUAACAAGAUUUUGAAAGAAGGCAUGUUUUAUGUCCAUAAAUACAGCCAUCUCUGAUAGAACACAUGACUCAGACCAAAUUGGUUCAGGGAGUUUAUGGCAAUUUGGUCAUGGCUUCUGUCCAGGAUAUUCACAGUUUAUUGCAACAGUUAUAAGGAGAAGGGGGGAAGUAGGUACCAGCUCAGCAUUCUGCCUGGAGUUGGGCCUCAGCUCUAACUGGAUGCUGAAGUCGUAUUACCCCCACCCUGCUAUUAGCCCCCAGAGUUGUUUAUCAUCACUUCUUACCUAAAAAGAAGCUGAGGGAGAUGAAUAAUAGACAGCAUGGCCAAUACAUACUUGAGAUUGCUAUAUGAGCUGCCCUUCUCUAGUGUUUCAUAUUGUGUUGGGAUCCGUACAUGAAUAUGACUUGGAAGGUAACAGCAACCAAGCCAGAAACAAUCUCUAAGAUCCAUCUCUGGAGGCAAACGUCCCGUAUGAGUAUCAAGCUUUCAUAAGGCACAUCCUAAUGUUAUUCACAGCCAGGGUAACAGGUCUCAGGGACCUUGCCCACAGUUGGGUGUGAGUGAAGCUUUUGUGGAAGACUGAUGUGUGCAUUUUAUCACCAUCAAACCCAAAUUAGCAGCUAGGAGAAAAACAAGGCAAAGGAGAAAAGUGUGCACAGAGUUUUAAAGGAACGAGAAAACCCACAUAUAUAAUCAGGAACAGGGAAGGAAAGACUUACCUAUGGUAUCUUCCCUGAAGGCCAAGUAGCUCUGUUUAGUCAGAAAGGAAUGUUCUGGAAGAAAAAUUGUAAGAUGAAAGAAAAAGAUUAGAAAAGGGAUUUGAACUGUGAAAGGAUGGAAAUGGAGGGGAGGUGAUUCUGACUUUCUUCUGAAAGGAAUUGGAAGCCAUCAAAGGCUCUGGUGUGAGGGAGAGACAUGUGGGAAGCAGAGUUUGGGAAGAUUAAGCCACUGCAGUGCAGGAGGGGAGGUAUUGCAGUCUGGGGCCAGAUGGGGACCUUCCCUGUCAUUCCAAGGUUCUCUGGAGGUCAGAGCUAGCUGAGGCUCUGAGUUCUUUCAGCUCUGCUGAUCUCUGCAUUGAGUGCAGGAAAUCCUGGAGGAUGAGCCAAUGGCCCAGAGCUUGGCAAAAUGUGCUUCAUGCUGAAGGGUCUAAGUGCCCUUGGCCUUUGAUGUGGAAAUGUCAUCAGUACAUUGAGUAAAUUCCAGAAGGUCUUCCGGGGGAGAACAUGCAAUAAGGUGGCCCCACACAACACACAUGUGGACCUCGGUGGACAGAGAGAUGCCGAUGAGGGGGAAAGCAGACUGGAGGAAAAAUGAGAUCUUUCCCCCAAUGCGGUAGGACAUAAAUUUAAAUUAUGGGUCCCAGUGAAGAAACAAUAUGUAAAGCCUCACUUGAAUACAGCUAGUGCUUGAGGAAUGGUUUUCCGCAGUCAUUCUGCCUUACCCUCUGAGUACAUCAGGCACAUGAGGCUCUGAUGAAUGCUACAGUGCAAUCUACAGAGACUAAUGCACCAGGGGCAUCCUAGCCGGGACUCAAAUUUGGAAGCAAAAGGUUCUUUCACAUUGCUUAGCAGUUAUACAAAUUCAAGAAUGCUAUGCUAGGGAACAAGAAUUCAACCUGCUGUCACUCUUAGCCAUGUGACCUUGGGCGAGUUUGCUCAUUACUGAAUAGGAAUAGAAAGACAAGGGUUCAGUCUUGACAGCAUCUUGCUCAAAACAAGGAGGUGACUGAGGAGUGAGCACGGUCGGAUACCAAUAUAGACAGAGCCAGGCAGGAAAAGCAAAUGAAUCUCGUAGGAUUCCUGAGAAUUCAGAGCUCACUAGGUACUUGCCUUACUUGGUAUUCUCAUGAACUGAACAAGGGAGCCACAUUGGAUAAUUCAUUAUCCAAUUAGAGAGAGACC
rnacentral:lncRNA from 1 species